AAAAAAAAAAAAAAAAAAAAAAAAAAAAAAAAAAAAAAAUCUAGUCCGAUUAUCAUGUUAAAAAUAAUUUUAAAAAGCUUCCAGUUCUGGCCUGGCGAGAGCUCAUUCGGCGACACAAAACUGCUGACCCACAAUCUGCUGAGCUCCCAUGUGUAGGGGGUGGGCCCUGUGGCUUCCCUUUGCACCUCCAGGCCAGCAAGGUCUGCAUGUGCCCCGUGGAGUUCUACCCCCAAUUCGUGGCACUUAACGAUACCCAAGGUGGAGUGGGCGGCGUUCCUGGAGGCGACUUAUAACUUGCGCCUGAUUCAGGUGCCCAAAGGUCUGGUUGAGGGGUAUGAGGAGAAUGAAGAGUUUCUGAGGACCAUGCGCCACCUGCUGCUGGAGGUGGAAGGAAUGGAGGGCACCCUGCAGUGACCAGAGUCUGCACGUACGUUCCCUGUCAUCCGCGGGAUCCCCAACAUGCCGCUGAGUGAAGAGGAAACCAAGAAUUGAUUGUGCCAGGAGCCAGUUUUUCUUGUAAUGAUCGUGUGUAUUUUUGUUGAUGUAUACCAUUUCUGAAUUCUGCCAUGUGUAUCCCCAUCCCUUGACCCAAUGACACACCAAACACAGUGUUCUUGAGCUCAAUAGUAUACAUUUUUUUCUUUUUUUUUUUUUAUUUUUUGAGAUAGAGUUUCACUCUUGUUGCCCAGGCU